rnacentral:rRNA from 1 species
AGUCCUGUUGAGUUUUAAGUACCUCUUUUGUACAAAUCCGUUCUCGCAUCGUGUAACCAGUUGUAUUGACUACUAAAAAUGUUGUGUUUAGAGAGGAAUCCUUCCGGUUCGUCAAAGGCACCUUUUCUUUUACGUGGUGGUUUCUCCUAACAGGUUGGUUCGUCCAUGGCAUCGAGUGGCAUGCUGACGUCGCUUUCCCCGGGUUAUUACGGUGUACUCUCUUUCUACAUACUCUUGUAUUGUAGAGACCGGUUACAACUUCCUAGGUUUGGACGUCAAAACUAACUGUUUUGGUAACGGUGUAAACCUGUCAACCCAUUGAGCUACUUUUAUCCACCGGCCCAGGUCCGGAUACAGUAUUUACACAUGACAUCCGUGGAUAAAUUACUUUUAGUAGGAUCCUUGAGUGAGUUCGUGAUAAAGAAGGUGUGACGUA